rnacentral:rRNA from 1 species
CCUACGGGAGGCAGCAGUAGGGAAUAUUGCUCAAUGGGGGAAACCCUGAAGCAGCAACGCCGCGUGGAGGAUGAAGGUUUUCGGAGUGUAAACCCCUUUUGUUAGAGAAGAUAAUGACGGUAUCUAACGAAUAAGCACCGGCCAACUCCGGGCCAGCAGCCGCGGUAAUUCGGAGGGUGCAAGCGUUACUCGGAAUCACUGGGCGUAAAGGGGGCGUAGGGGGGUUAGCAAGUCAGAUGUGAAAUCCUAAGGCUUAACCAUAGAAUUGGAAUUGAAACUGUUAUUCUAGAGUAUGGGAGAGGUAGGUGGAAUUCUUGGUGUAGGGGUAAAAUGCGUAGAGAUCAAGAGGAAUACUGAUUGCGAAGGCAACCUACUAGACCAUAACUGACGCUGAUGCGCGAAAGCGUGGGGAGCAAACAGGAUUAGAUACCCCUGUAGUC